UGGAAGACUGAGCUUUGAAAGUGAGUGAUUUCUUCAACUUGAAUCUUACUAAUUGGAAUUCUCCUUUUCAAAUUAAAGUUCUGGGAGUCAAACCCAGGGCCUCAUGCAUACUAGUGAUUUCCCGGGGAGCACAGCACCGAGGGAAUCACUGCCGCGGAAAGCGAACGCAAAGGACAGAGUUGUGGUUUCAGCCACAGUCUCGGUUUCACUGGAGCUGGGUCAAGCAGCGAGAUUGUGACCAUGGCCUGCGCCAGUAGCCCCAACGCUAGUACAC